GCAGAUUCUGGGUAAGCUUCUUCCCUUUGAUCCAGUUGGCAAAUUCAGGUGAGGACAUCCUGUCAAAAACAACAUUAAAAAUGGAAGACAGAACAGCUCCACCUACAAGUGUUGCAGCCAUGUUUCUCAAGAUCAAGUGAUAAGAUCUGAGGAAACUGAGAAAGGCAAAAGGAAAUGGAUGUAAUUUGCUGUAAACUCGGUUAAUCUCAAAAGGAGUAAGGAAACUGUUGCAGGUAGGCAGUGAAUUGACUUGAAAUGUUUAUAGUUAUUGGUCUUCGGGACAAGUUCAGAUGAUGCUUCUUGCUUUCAUGAAAUGUAUGGUCCACUGCAUCUAAUAGCCAAUAGGGUGAUAUUUGCUUCAAUUAUUAAGUAGAUAAUUUUGUUUGUGGCCUUGUCUGUUCUGUUUUGGUUUUAUUCACUCUGGCCAAGACUUUUCGAAACAAGUAAUGGAAUUUUUUAACAACUUCACCCACCAAUAAUUGUGGCCAUCUAUUCAUCUCACACUUCAAAAAUAAAUAAAUAAAUAGUGCAAUGCAACUUUGAUUGCUUGAAGUUUAUACUUUAUACUAAACUAAGUUGAGGCAGUUAAAUAGUUUGUCGAAAUUUAUGUUAUUUGAUCCUAUUAAUGCAUCAAAAUGUUAAUCAUAUUGUCCCAUCAGGUGGUCUCUUUCUUUCAACAGCUUGUGUUAUUUUCAAUAAUAUUAUCCACAUAAAUUUAAUUAUUACACUGAAAUCUGAUUGACCUUGAUUAAGUUGGGUUAAUCCACUAUAGAGGUAAGCUCUUCCAACAUUAGUGUCUCGAAUUUUUUUAGACCAAAAAUUCUAAUUUCUAUGUAUAAAUUGAGCAAGCUACUAGCAGAAGAAACUAACACUUGAUCCUGAAUUUCGGCAGAGUUCCCAUAUUCAUUUCUUGGAUUCGGUACAUGUCUUUCAACUACCACACCUAGAAACUGCUGCUAAGGGUGCAAUAUGAACACCUAACUCCUGUUGUAAAUGGGAUAAAAAUUGACAGUGGUUUGACAGAGGUAGCUGCUCUGAUUGCCAUGGUUUUUGGCUACCGUUUCUUGGUGUAUCUUUCGUUGCGGCGCAUGAAGCUUCAAUCCGGAGCAUGAGAUCAUUGAUCCAAGCAUAACAAGCAGUAGUCUGGAUUGAAAGAAAGUGCUUCCAUUUUUCGUGAACAUUGGAUGAAUGCUCAAAUUAUAAAGAGGACUACGUCGAUGUGUUACUGUCCAAACUUAAACUUGUAUACAAGGACACAGUAAUAUGUUGAUUGAGGCAAUAAAUUUUUAGUGUACCUACAAUAGGGUAAAAUUGAAAUUAUAAUCAGUUAAUAAUUAAUUUAAUUAAUUCUUAAUCAUUUUUAAUUUUAAAUUUUAAAAAAAUAAGGAUUUGGUUACGGAAAAGUUACGUAUUUUUCCAUUUUUACACGUGCGAAGAAUGUUCUACAGUUUCUUUCUCUCCGGCAGUCUCUUUCAAUCUCUCCGCAGUCCACACUGAAGCCGCAAAGAUCACCACCAUACGCCGCCCAGUUUUCCGGGAACGUCCGACGAAGACACCCUUUUUGCGCACGUUGCAUCUGUCAUGCAGCCUACCAACGCGGCGGUCGUGGGAAUGGUGUCACGUGUACGAUGAUUUGAAAUUUGGUGGGUUGCCUCCGGUGGAUGUGGUGUAUCAGAUUGAAGAUAUUAAGAAGGCCAGUGCUUCGUUUCAUGGUGUUGUGUAUAUUUUCGGCCAACUUGACUUUUUUGUUAUUUUGUUUGAUUCAAUUUAAAUAUAUACAAUGAACAAGUUUCUAAUGCAAUGAUAGAUGAGGGUGGGAUAGCAGCCGGUUUUGGGAGACGAGAGUAUUUGGGUAAAUUUCUUUGGUAAAUUAAGGUUGAGAUGAUUAAUUUUUUGAAAUAAUUGUUUGAGUUUUUUUUUUUUGUAUUGGGCCAAAUUCAAAAUUCAUUGUACUUCAAGAUUUUUCAUUAUCUUCCUAGCAGAGUUCAUUUAAUUAAUCACAUUCGAGUCAUAAAUCAUAAUAAGUAGACUUUGCUUCUCCUGUUUUUGGUGGUAGAAUAUAGAUAUUUGUAUCAUAAAAAAAUCGAUAUCUAUUUCUUAUAUAAUAAAUUUAAGGGUAAAGUAUGUUUGUCUUUGUUAAAAGCUUUAGUUGGAUUUAAGUCUGCUAUGUUAGUAAUUAACAAAAACAAACUAAUGGUAUAGUCCAAAACCAAAUGUUUCGAAUUUUUUUAGACCAAAAAUUCUAAUUUCUAUCUAUAAAUUGAUCAAACUACUAGCAGAAGAAACUAACACUUGAUCCUAAAUUUUAGCAGAGUUCCCAUAUUCAUUUCUUGGAUUUGGUACGUGUCUUUCAACUACCUCACCUACUAACUGCUGCUAUCAAAAUUGACGGUGGUUUGACAGAGGUAGCUGCUCUGAUAGCCAUGGUUUUCGGCUACCAUUUCUUGGCAUAUCUUUCGAUGUGGCACAUGAAGCUUCAAUCCGGAGCAUGAUAUCAUUGAUCCAAGCAUAACAAGCAGUAGCCUAGAUUGAAAGAAAGUGCUUCCAUUUUUCGUGAAGAGUGAUAUUGGAUGAAUGCUCAAAUUAUAAAGAAGACUACAUUGAUGUGUUACUGUCCAAACUUGUAUAAGGACACAGUAAUUAUGUUGAUCGGAGUCCGAAUGAGCAUGAUUAAAGUUUGGUUAAUCACAUUCGCUUAAUUCACAUUUGAGUCUUAUAAUGCCAUGUCAGUAGUUUUAAAUAGAUGAUAAUAGAUAGUAACCAACCAACCAUUCUUUCAUAAUUAUUCAAUUGAAACAUAAAAUACAGAUUAAAUGCAGUAAAUAUGUGUGCAUUAAAAGUGUCAUAAUAAUAAUAAUCAUAAAAGUUUUCAUCAGUUAUCAAUAAUUUUAUCUAAUUAUACAUAUUUUAUAAACUCUUACAUUAUUACUAUUAUUUGGCUUAAUUAUAUCUUCAAGUCUCUUAUAGUUAUUUCAAUAUGCUAUUCAUUAUUGCUUUGUAAAUUUGUAUUUUAUUCUAUCUACCAAAUAAUCAAACACAAAACUAUUAAUAAAAAAUAGGUAAAAAAAAAUUACAUAUAACCUUUUCCUAUAAUUAUGCCAAAAAAUAUGAUUUGCAAAUUCUAGAAAAAAAUUCUUAUUCAAAAAAUAAAUAUUGUUUAUUUAAAUAAAGUUCCUAUUUUUUUUAAAAAAUAGUAAUUUUUUCAGACGAAUAUCACAUAUCAAUCAAGAAACUACAAAAGAAAAAAUAUAAAAAAAUCCAAGAAAUAUCUUAAAAUGAAAAACUUAUAUACAAAGGUGAAAUAAAAAUGAUAGUACAAAACUCAAACAAGUUAAUAUUUUAGAAAGAUCCAUCUCUAUAAAAACAUACAAGAGGAAGAACAAACAAACAACUUCAAUAGGAAGAAUACUGCAAUGAGUGAAUAGUCUUGAUGCAUCAAAAGCAAAACUUUAGGUGCAGACUUUAUCUUCUUGGCUCCAUGGAUAAGCUGUAUGAGAAUGUACAAAAUGUUAGCUGUGUUGGUAAGGAAUGAUAUAAGACAAUAACAAGAACGUAGAGUAAGAACGUUGUAAAGAAGAUGAAGAAUAAAAAACUAGUGAGUCACUUUAUAUGCAGAGUAUAAAUGUUAGUGCAGAAAACAAAUGUAUUUGGGGAAAUACAGAAUAACGUUGUGUGUGUGUGUGUGUGUGUGAGAGAGAGAGAGAGAGAGAGAGAGAGAGAGAGAGUUACCUGUUGAAGUUGUUGGAUUACCAAAUCCAUCUGUCAUCAACUUGAAUGGUGGGGAUGUGGGAGAUUUUGGGCCAAAGCUGUGGGUCCUUCAUCUCGCACCGUUUACCCAGCAAAGGGCUAUCACUGAUGCAGAGUUGUUUUAGAGAGGUAGGCAGCUUUUCACCCUCCAUAUUCUCCAACUUGGGACAACGAAAAAUACAUAAUUCAUGGAGGGAGGUGAGGUGGGCAAGUCCCUUGCAUUCCAACGUCUCCACACUUUGAAUGCGAUCCAGUGUGAGAGACUGAAGGGAGGCAGGCAACCAACCUUCCUUUGGGAGGGACUUCACACUCUCACAUUCACCCGCAAUACGAAGACUAGUUAGCCCGUGAAAUUGGGAAUUCAUGAAUGCUGCAGUGCUCACUAGUUUCUCGCAGUAGCUGAUUCCAAGAAAUCUGAGGCUACGGUGUGGAACCCCUGGAGCAAACAAAUCGACCCUGGGGCAACCCACUAGUGAGAGACACUCUAGCUGAGGUGCUGCAAUCCAUAUCGUCGACACGGAUUUCAUACUCCCACAAUGCUUGAUCCAUAGAUAUCGGAGAGACGAGAGAGAGCGUGACACCACAAUACACUCCAUCUUUUCACAUUUCUUGAUUUGAACAUGCACGAGAUUUGGAAAGGAAUCCAACAACGAGAAGGAUGCAACUGAAUCACAACUGCUACGUAUGCGUAGUUCCUUAAGUGAGUGGUGUUGGCCAUCCAUUUGGAAUUCUAAUUCUCUACAACCCUGAAUCAUCAAGUCUCGUAGUGAUGGAGGGAUAGCACUCACAGGAAACCAUAUGUGGGAGGAACAAUCUGAGAUGCGUAAAGAAGUGAGGCAAGUCAGUUGCGUGUUCGUAAUGGCCUCCACCACGGACCCCACUGGAUGCUUUCCUGAAAUUGAAAGAGUGGAAAUCGCAGGAGCCUCAAUCUCAAGUGAUUCCAAAGAAGGUAGGUGAUUCGGCAAAUCUCCUCUCAACAUCGGACACUUCCAUAUGGUAAGCUCCCUAAGUCGAGGAAAUGCAUUCAACUCCAUUGAACGCCACUCCUUCCAGCAAGGCAUUGAUGAAAACCAAAGAGUUUCAAGCUUUGGAAAUGGAGUCUCCAAACAAAAUUCAUCGUUCUGGUAAAAGUAAAACUCAGCACCCACAAUUUCCACACUUUCAAAAUUUAAAAUUGUUAGGUGCUUCAAAGAGGGCAAUUGUCCAAGUGAAGGAAGCAUACAACAAUUCCUGCAACCAUACAGUGUUAUUGUGGUGAUGUUGCAGUAGGAAGAAUGUCCCAACCAAUCUGGAAAGGUUGUACCCCUAUAACCCCGGAUUUCUAGUUCUUUCAAAUUACAAUGAGGUUUUAACUUGUCGAGUAUAUCUCUUUCUAUUUGGGAAUCAACUUCAUUCUCAUCUUCAUCUGGCGACCAACUCAACUCCAAAGACCUAAUGCCAUCCUUGUUAGACAUUCUUGCCAUCGAAGCUUCACUGCUGUUCACCACAUUCUCCAAUUUGGCAAUGGAAAUUGAUUGCUGUAGAUUUGCAAGUGCUCCCAAUUCUGUGAUAUUGUUUUCUUCACGCUUCCCAACAACAUAGUCGCUUAAAAACUGCAAAUUUUUCAACUUGCUCAUACCUUUCGGCAUCUCUUGCAACCGAUCAGUCCCUCUAAUAUCAAGAUGCCGCAAAUUUACAAGGUCUUCCAUGCCAACAGGUAGCAUUGUCAGUUGCAUACAGAAACGCAACUUCAAGGUCUGCAAGUUGUACAGGUUACCCAAUGACUCCGGCAAUGUCACAAUGUCGGUCCAAGAGAGAUCCAAGUAACGCAAAUGAAUCAACUCACCUAUUGAACCAGGGACUGACUCAAGAGGAAAGCGUUUCAACGACAAAGCUCUAAGGUACUUCAACCGUGACAACAAGAUAUAAGGUGUGUUUUCCAUGUUAAAUGGGAUCCAUGGCCACAAAUUGAUUGCAAGAAAUGUCCUUGUAUGUUUUAUUCUGUCACAAACCCCCAACAGUUUUGAGAUUGGAUAAUUGCCUUUAGCAUUAUGGGACAAAUGACGCGUUUUAAUAUCAACCUCAACUGCAUUCUGAAGCUCUUCCGCUCUAAAAUAGAAUUCUCCCGCAAACAUCAUUGCCAAAUCAUGCACAAGAUCAUGCAUCACAAAAUUAUUUUCCUCAGUACUAUGAGGUUGCAAUAAUGAUCUCGCAACUAAUUCAUCGAAAUAUUCAUCACCAACUUCUUCUGGGGUCUUUUUCCCAACUGGUUGUAAAAAAUUCUGAGCCAUCCAUAACAAGAUGAGCUCAUCUUUAUCAAAUUUAUAAUCCUUCGGAUACAAUGAGCAAUAAACAAAGCACUCCUUCAGACAUGAAGGAAGAUAGUAAUAACUGAUUCUUAAUGCUGGAAUGAGUUCGCUUUUGUCUUCAGAAAAUUCCCAAAUCUCGCUCUUCAAUAUACGAUUCCAAUCCUCGACAUCAGAAUUUCCGCGCAACAAGCCUCCUAGUGCUUGAGCUGCCAAGGGCAAGCCAUGACACUUCUUUACAAUAUCUCUGCCAAGCUUUUCCAAAGUUGGAUUCUCCAUAGAGUAAGUGGAAAGACGUGCAUGUUUUGAAAAUAUUAACCAGCAAUCUUCAUCUGACAAUAAGCUUAGUUCAUAAGACGAAAUAGUCUGUGCCGCAGAAGCCACCUUUGUACUUCUAGUAGUUAUGAGAAUUUUGCUCCCCUUAACCCCAUUCUGAAAAGGUUUUAGAAGCCUAUUCCAGCUACCAUAGUUUUCAUUCCAUGCAUCGUCCAAAACCACAAAGAACUUUCGUUUGGAUAAUCUUUCCUUUAACUCAUGUUGAAGUAAAUUCAAAUCAUUCAAGUUACAAGAACUUGAAGUUAUUGCCUCAAUUAUAGUCUUGGUGACCUUAAUAACAUCAAACUCUUCGGACACACAAACCCAACCCUGAACAUCAAAGUUCUUCUGCACUUUAUUGUCAUUGUAAACCAAUUGGGCCAAAGUAGUCUUUCCUAUUCCGCCCAUGCCCACAAUGGGAAUCACAGAUAUAUCAUCAUCCAACAACAAUUUCACUAUGGCCUCCUUGUCUUUUUCCCUUCCAUAUAUAUUAGAUCUUUCAACUAGAGAUGUUGUGAUCCUCCAUGACAUGUUCUCCUUAGGAAUCUCUCUAAGACCAAGAGUGUCUUUUUGCUUCACAAUAGACUCUAUCCUCUCAAUUAUUUCUUCCAUCCUGUUUGCUAUCUCCCUAUCUUGCAAAUUGAAAAAACGAGAGAAGGUACCUGGAUCCUUCUGAGUGGCAGCUUUGGUGAAGACUUCAUCAAGCAAGUCAUCAGCAACAUACAUAGCAUCUUUGAGACUAUCGAGCCAGUCCUUGACAGCUCUCUCCUUGAUCUGCUUCUGCUCAGCAUCACUGAGAAAGGCUUGAACAGCAUAAAGAGUAGUCUUCAACCUUUCAAGCAGUUUCUGGGUAAGCUUCUUCCCUUUGAUCCAAUUGGCAACUUCAGGUGAGGACAUCCUGUCAAAAACAACAUUAAAAAUGGAAGACAGAACAGCUCCACCCACAAGUGCUGCAGCCAUGAUCUCAAGUUCAAGUGAUAAGACGAGGAAAAAAAAAAAAGAAACUGAGAAAGGCAAAAGGAAAUGGGUUUAGUUUGCAAUAAACUCGGUCAAUGUCAACAAGAGUAAGGAAACAUU
rnacentral:lncRNA from 1 species